rnacentral:rRNA from 1 species
AAUAGAUACCCCGGUAGUCCACCCCGUAAACGUUGGAACUAGUUGUGGGUCCAUUCCACGGGUUCCGUGACGCAGCUAACGCAUUAAGUUCCCCGCCUGGGGAGUACGGCCGCAAGGCUAAAACUCAAAGGAAUUGACGGGGACCCGCACAGGCGGCGGAGCAUGCGGAUUAAUUCGAUGCAACGCGAAGAACCUUACCAAGGCUUGACAUAUACGAGAACGGGCCAGAAAUGGUCAACUCUUUGGACACUCGUAAACAGGUGGUGCAUGGUUGUCGUCAGCUCGUGUCGUGAGAUGUUGGGUUAAGUCCCGCAACGAGCGCAACCCUCGUUCUAUGUUGCCAGCACGUAAUGGUGGGAACUCAUGGGAUACUGCCGGGGUCAACUCGGAGGAAGGUGGGGAUGACGUCAAAUCAUCAUGCCCCUUAUGUCUUGGGCUUCACGCAUGCUACAAUGGCCGGUACAAAGGGCUGCAAUACCGCGAGGUGGAGCGAAUCCCAAAAGCCGGUCCCAGUUCGGAUUGAGGUCUGCAACUCGACCUCAUG